GAUGAACGCUGGCGGCGUGCCUAAUACAUGCAAGUCGAGCGAACAGACGAGGAGCUUGCUCCUCUGACGUUAGCGGCGGACGGGUGAGUAACACGUGGAUAACCUACCUAUAAGACUGGGAUAACUUCGGGAAACCGGAGCUAAUACCGGAUAAUAUAUUGAACCGCAUGGUUCAAUAGUGAAAGACGGUUUUGCUGUCACUUAUAGAUGGAUCCGCGCCGCAUUAGCUAGUUGGUAAGGUAACGGCUUACCAAGGCAACGAUGCGUAGCCGACCUGAGAGGGUGAUCGGCCACACUGGAACUGAGACACGGUCCAGACUCCUACGGGAGGCAGCAGUAGGGAAUCUUCCCCAAUGGGCGAAAGCCUGACCGAGCAACCCCGCGUGGGUGAUGAAGGUCUUCGGAUUGUAAAACCCUGUUAUUAGGGAAGAACAAAUGUGUAAGUAACUAUGCACGUCUUGACGGUACCUAAUCAGAAAGCCACGGCUAACUACGUG
rnacentral:rRNA from 1 species